rnacentral:rRNA from 1 species
UACGUAGGGUCCGAGCGUUGUCCGGAAUUAUUGGGCGUAAAGGGCUCGUAGGCGGUUUGUCGCGUCGGGAGUGAAAACACGGGGCUUAACCCCGUGCCUGCUUCCGAUACGGGCAGACUAGAGGUAUGCAGGGGAGAACGGAAUUCCUGGUGUAGCGGUGAAAUGCGCAGAUAUCAGGAGGAACACCGGUGGCGAAGGCGGUUCUCUGGGCCUUACCUGACGCUGAGGCGCGAAAGCUAGGGGAGCGAACAGG